rnacentral:lncRNA from 1 species
AUGGGUCAUUUCUUCCAGGCUCCAACUUGCUUCUGCUUUGCCAUAUGGUAACACGCCGUAUUAUGGAAGCACCAUCAUUACCGCCAUUUGCAGGGGAAGCCUAAAGAGAUAAAUGCCAGCCAGCAUCCCUGUCUCUGGGGCCCUGGAGAGGCCUUCAACACACCUGGCCUCACUGCCCUGUGGCUUCAACAAAGAGGCCGAGCAUCUCCUAUAAACCUUGAGGUCCAUGGAUGACAUAGCGGAAUGAUGGAUUUCAGAAAAGGCAGGUGCUUCCCACUCUUUAAAUUUUUGUUUAUUCUUUCCAAGUUUCCCAUCAACAGCCCUGCAGUAAAAAUUCAGGGCUUCAGAGACAAAUAUUUCAUGAGUACAGACUGUGAUGAGGAAAAGCAAGCCAUUCCCUCUCUAUCAGGAUCCAGAGAAAGAAAAACAAGAUGUCUGAGAAGGGGAAGGGAGCACCGUUUUCAUACCUGGCUUGGCUUAGCUGCACGAGAGAAGAAAAGGCCGUGGCUGAAUCCAUCUCCAGGAGCAGCUGUCCCCCUGCACCGUUUGAAUUGCGAGGAAAGAGUUACAGUUUUAGAAAAGAAUACCUGACACAAUGAACAAAAACCAGAGCUUUUGAAUACAGAUUUCCAGUAAAACCAAACCCAGCUUGGGUCAGAUGCACCUUUCCAGCAACCACCAUCUCAGCAACAACCUGCCAGCUGUCAACUGGAAGUUCAGCUUCUGGGAACUUCAGCCCCCUUCUCAGAGGAGCAAGGUCCUAGCACCAACAGCACCUGCAGUGGAGCCCAAGUAUGGCUGCUUCAUGGAGAAGGCAGAUAUUGAAAUGUGAUCACUGAGGCUCAGUGGGAAUCCCUUUGCUCUCAAACUCCCCGAUGCAAUGCCUUCUGAUUUCAACAGAAAAGCAAGAGGCUCCAGGCACCCCAUUCAGGGACUGCCACCAAAGUACCCGCAAAUCCUUCAUGAAAGGGGAGACAUUGACACAUUCUUUUUUUAUUCUCUGGUAGGUAUCUGUUUGCGUGCAAAUCCGUGAGUGCUUGCAUCUCGUGUAUUUGAAAAUCCUGUUUAAGAAUGCAGAGGUCCAUAUAGUGUCAUUAAAACAAAUGAGUAUAA